UGCAUCCUCUCCACACUGCGCGCAUCCAUUGUCUUAGUGCAUUGUGACGUCGCAGCUUCGGUACUGAGCAUGUGCAGAAACCGUAACCAUGGUGAAUAAUCCAUGGACUAAGUUAGGCCAGGUUUAAACCAUGGAUCAGUUAGGCCACCUUUCGAGAAAUGAAAAUUACUUAGGUCAGCGGCCUAAGUUAAGCCUGGCCUAACUAAACCACGGUUUAACUUAGGCCAGGUUUAACUUAGGCCGCUUUCGAGAAUACCACCCAUAGGGUGGUAUUCUCGAAAGCGGCCUAAGUUAAAUCAGUGGCCUAAACCUGGUUUAAACCAUGGACUAUCUUUUUUGCUAUUCUCGAAGGUGGCCUAAAGAUAAGCCAGGCUUAAAUACGUCAUAGUUCGGCCUAACUUUAGGCCGCGCGCUCAGAGGGCAGGUUUAAAUACGUCAUAGUUCGGCCUAACUUCGCGUGACGUCACUUUUUAGUUAAAUCGACUGUCCGCGGAGAGUGAACGGUAAGUUUUGCAUUUGAAUUUCUAUAUUUGAUAACAAUUUACACUCUUUUGUAUGGAUAAGCGCUCAUGAAAGUUACACCAGCUAAUAAAGUAUUUUUGUAACUUUCAUGUUGCUGUACUGGUGAUAAUCUAAAAUGCUUUUAACUGAAUAAAUUUGGGGGAAACUUGGUAAAUGUUCACAGUGUUCGCAGAGCAGUCCCAUACGUGCAAAUAAUUGUCGGUUAACAUUUUCAUUUCCUGAGAUUGAGCAAUUUCUUACCGGGUAAUUUUUUUCUUGGCACUAUUGUACUUUCGUACGCUUAUACCACCUUAACAUCACCUUAAAAAUAUCAUUGCUAGACGUAGAAACUACUUUUAUAGUGGAUUUUCGAGACGCUGUUGCCUAAAAGUGGACUAGCACUAGGCCUAAAUCUAGAUCUAGCUGUCUCUUUCGUUCGUUAGCCUCUGAUUUGGUCGGCUCCUCUCUUUCAGGAGCCGACCCUACCCAAAUCAGAGGCUAACGAACGAAAGAGACAGAAAUUUCGGUCUGGUAUCACCUUUGCCUGAGCUGCAGUGCUAGUUGUGGCUGUUGGUGCGAUCAUUUCCUACAGGAUGAUGAUGAUUUUCAUAACCACCCCCAAGAAAACAUUUUAAAAAAAAUGUUAGGCCUACUAGACCUAGACCUCUAGCCGGCUCUAGACUAGAUCUUAAUUUCAUGAAUAAGAGUCUAGUCUAGACAGGUCUAAUACAAAUUGAAAGGAAAUGGACAGAAGCUUCCUUUUUUUGACAUAGGUCUACAUGUGCUGAUAAUGUUACAGUAGUUUAGGCUUAUAAUACUUGUUAGUAAACUAGACGUCUACAGAGAAAUUGUAAUUUCUUAUCAAAUAUCAACAUAUUUUUUCAUCUUGAUUUUCUGCUAUUUCAGGUUCUUUUCAAUUGAUGCACGGGGAUGGAGAAAAAAAGGCCUCUCCCAAGCUAUGGUGUCCCGCCUUGUGAAGUCCAUCUCAAUAGCCAUUGCCAGGAGAUGGGAGCAAUACAUCACAAUUCCUUCAGCAAGAGAGGCAGUCCUGCAGAGUGCAGACCCAACAUGAAUUGUAUAAUUACUGCCAUUUCCCUGGCGUUAAUAUGGUCGGUGCUAUUGAUUGCACCCACAUAGGCAUCUCCAAGCCAGUUGGCCCAACACCAGUUAUUUCCUGAACAGGAAAAAAUAGAUACUCCAUUUUUCUUGGAAAGUCUGCUGGAUGAUAUUUUUCUUCAGUAAAAUAAAUGAAGACAAAUUCCCUGAUAACUGAGACAAAUUCAGAGAGAGGAAGGAGAACUACUGAGCUGCUGAAUUUCUGACAGACAUACUUGCAAGGACUAUGAAGUUCUACUUAGCCUCUUCAAUGAACCAGACUCCAUCUGCUGUAACUGUGACUUCAUGGGGAUCAAAACCUGUGUAUUAUAAUCCUCAUAACAUGAAGCUAUGGUAACAAACAAGCAACCAUUGAUAAAAAGCCUAUGUCCUUGUUGUGUGUGUGAACCACAAAGCAACCAUCACUCAUAAGGAUGUUUUUAUGUACAUCAGAUGUUCAU
rnacentral:lncRNA from 1 species